rnacentral:lncRNA from 1 species
UCGGCUUCUCUUUUUUUUUGGUAGAAUUUACCUGUAAAGUCAUCAGUACUGCACAUUUUUUUAAUAGAAAGGUUAACUAGUGAUUUAAAUUCUUUGAUGUUUAUUGGUUUGAAUUAUUCAAUUUUUCUCUUGAGUCAGUUUUAAUAUUUUGUAUUUUUGUAGCAAUUUAUCCAUUUCAUUUACAUUUUCAAAUUUUCUCCUCUAAACUAUUUGUAAUAUAUGCCCAUAUCAUCCUCUCAUUUUUCUUUUUGUGGGAGCCUGUCUCUCCAUCAAGCCAAGAAUCUCCUUUAAUGAUAUCUAGGACAGGUUAUUCCUCCUCGUCUGUCAGUGACCUGGCAGCCUGUUGAGUACUGGGGAAGCACAGUGCCUGGUACUGGCACGUUUACUGCCUUCAUUCUUUCUAAUCUUGAUCUUUUAUGCUGAAGUGUUAGUUUAUUUAUCUAUUCUCAGAAGACAUUUGGACAAAAAUGCUAUUUUUAAUUUCAAAAUGAAAAUUGUGUUGUUAGGAUUAGUCUUUGUAUAAGUCAGAGUCACAUUUUAAAUUUUCCUAGGACUUGGUUGGUUUUCUCAGCACACUCUCAGCUCCUGGCAGGUUUGCAUAGAGCAGGCAACAAUGGGAAAGUUCUCAUAGAAAAUUUUGCAUCUAUAUGUGGAUAGGGAGGUGAUGGAAUGGGGCAUAUGUGGGAAGAUACAGGAAAAAGAAAACUGUUCUUACUCCUUACCCCCCAUAGGAGAUGGUGCUGUACAGUGGGAAAGAGAACUGGAUUAUAGUUUUCUGCUCCCUAAUUGUAACUUUCUUUUUCAUUUAUUUCAGGAAGUUAUAUACACAAUGGUGUAAAAUUGAAAAGUUAUUAAAAACUAUACAGAGGAAAAGCUUCCUUUUCACCCCUGACCUCUAUUUCCCUUACUGGAGUAACUACUCCAUUUUAUUGUUUUCUUCCGGAGAUAGUCUAUCUAUAUAAGCAUGGUGGUAUAUUGCUUAAAAACACACAAAUAACACUGCCUGUGUGAUUUUAGGAAAAUCUCUUGAACUUCGUUAUUAACUUCUUUAAAUUCCUAGAUGAAAAUACUUACACAAACCUGGAAAAACUCAGUGAUUUUGUAAAAAUCAAUCAAGUAGUAUUUGUGAACAUGUUUGGAAAAUCAUCAGUUAUUUUAUAAGUGUGAGAUGGAGGGGAGGGAGUCAUGAAAGUUUUACUUUUCUACACAAAAGACAAUGAGUCACAUGGGAUCUGACUUGACAAGAGUGAUUCUGAACUGGUAGCCUGGCUGUGUGUCAGCAGCCCCCUGGCUAAUUCCUCUCAUAGUGUGUUGGGGUUUUCUUCAUGGCUAAUGAAGAGAUCUAUUCGCUUGAGAUAGGAAGUGGAAGCUUGCCAGAGUGUGAGACACCUCACCUUCCUCCUUCACUCCUUCUCUUUGCCCUUCCUCACAUUCAGGGAGUUAGUAUUGGAACUUUGGCUGAUGCAACAGUUUGAGUCACUGUCCCUCUGUGCUGUGGGAUCCACUCACUUUUAAUGGGGAGUUGAUGGAAUCACUCCUCCCUCCCCCGCCCUGACUUCCUCCUCUAAUUGACUCUCAGGGGACUCCAACUCCUGCUAAUCAACCACGGCAGAGCUGCUGCAGAGAGCCCAGAACUGGCACUCGGGGACCUAGGUUCUGUUGUGACUCUGCUCCUUCAACUUUCUUUUCUAAUCUGUUAAAACAACUUUGCCUUUGGAUUAGGCCUGGGAGAAUGGGGUUCCUUUGGGCAUUGCCUUUGCGGAGACAGUUUUAAUAAUGCCAACAUCUUCUAGACUUCGCCAACUAUUGUGUUCAGCUUGAACCCUUUUGUUCAUGCUGGCAGAGAAGGGAAAAGAUUAGGUAUCCGGUUCAUGUGUCCACAGUGGGGGAGGCGAGUGAUAGGAGAAAAGAGAAGAUGAAAAAGCAUAUCAUUUGAGGAAUGUGAGCCUCAACAUAUUGGUCCACAUACUGCUUCUCUAUUAGCAAAAGGCCUUGUGGAAAACUUACCUUGUCUGCUUCUGUUUGUCACUGCCCAGAGGAAAGUAAACCUAGUUGUGCAGCUUUGGCCAAUAUUAUUAUUGGGUUACAUUAAAAAAAAUAUUUUAAAAAUAGGCUUUGUCUUUUAAAGCAGUUUCAGGUUCACAGAAAUAUUGAAUAGAAAGUACAGAGGGUUUCUAUAUACCUCUUCACUCACCUUAUGCCCAACCUUCCCCAUUAUCAAUGUCCCAUCCCAGAGUGGUCCACUUCCUAUAAUUCAUGAGCCUACAUUGACACAUCGUUAUCACUCCAAGUCCAUGGUUUAUAUUGGAGUUCACUCUCGGUGUUGUACAUUUUAUGGGUUUUGACAAAUGUAUACUGACAUGUAUUUAUUAAACUAUCAUACAGAAUAGUUUAAUUGCUGUAAAAUCCUGUGUGUUCUACCUGUCUGUCCUUAUCUCCCCUCCUCCCUCACCCCGGAAACCACUAUCUUUUUUCAUUUUUUAAUUUAAAAAAAUUUUUUUCUUAUGCCUCCCAGGGCUUCCUUGCUAGAAACCACUAUCUUUUUACUGUUUCUAUACUUUUGCCUUUUUCAGAAUGUCAUAAAACUGGAAUCAGAGUAUGUACCUUUUCAGGUUGACUCCUUACUCCAUGGAUUACCUUUCAAAAUGGACAUUUAAAAAUAAUUUUAGAAUGAUACUAAAGCUACAAUAGAGGGUAAGUGUAUCUAUGGCAUACCCAAGCAUAUUUGUGUAACCUCUUUCUUGGGGGUUGGGGGAACAGGGUCUCGCUCUGUUACUCAGGUUAGAGUUCAGUGGAAUGAUCAUAGCUCACCGCACCCAUAAACUCCUGGUCCUAAGCAAUCCUCCUGCCUCAGUCUCCCACAUAGCAGGGACUACAGUCAUGUGCCACCACGCCUGGCUAAUUUAAAAAAAAUUCUUAGUAGAGGCCAGGCGCGAUCGCUCACGCCUGUAAUCCCAGCACUUUGGGAGGCCGAGGUGGGCGGAUCUCGAGGUCAGGAGAUUGAGACCAUCCUGGCUAACAUGGUGAAACCCCGUCUCUACUAAAAUACAAAAAAAAAUUAGCCGGGCGUGGUGGUGGGCGCCUGUAGUCCCAGCUACUGGGGAGGCUGAGGCAGGAGAAUGGCGUGAACCUGGGAGGCGGAGCUUGCAGUGAGCCGAGAUCGUGCCACCGCACUCCAGCCUGGGUGGCAGGAUGAGACUCCAUCUCAAAAAAAAAAAAAAAAAUUCUUAGUAGAGAUGAGGUCUCACUAUGUUAACCAGGCUGGCCUCAAACUCUUGGAUUCAAGUGAUCCUCCUGCCUCGAUCUCCCAAAGUGCUGUGAUUAUAAGUGUGAGCCACUGUGCCUGGCCUGUAACCUUUAUUUUGACAAAUGGAUAGUAUUGAAGGAAAUUUUCUUGAUACCCAGUUUAGUCUGUUCUUGGACAAGCAAUGCAGUAGGUUUGACUCUGAGUACUAUAUGACCAACACUUCUGGCCAGGCCACAGUUAAGGUCCGGUUGGAAAACACUUGUUGAGGGUUGAAUUGUAACCUUUUUACUGGAUGAUAGGGUAGUUUUUAGCCCAUAGAUACACUUGCUUAAAAAACCAAGAAAGACACGGAAAUCUCAGUCUAUACAUAGUUUCAUCAGUGUUUAUUGGGAACUGUGUUCUGGAUAAAGCAAUCAUAUGUAUACAUUUUUAUUAUGUAAUGUAUAAGUGAUUUGUAAAUUAUAAAGAUCUCCUACGAUACGGUGGUGUCUUCUAGAUAGAAAAUACAUCUUUCUAAAAUGUGUGCCUAAUUCUAGUGUAGUGUCAAUUUAUAGUAAACAAUAAAUAUUUAAUGAAUAAACAUUA